rnacentral:rRNA from 1 species
UACGAAGGGGGCUAGCGUUGCUCGGAAUUACUGGGCGUAAAGGGCUCGUAGGCGGCCAACUAAGUCAUACGUGAAAUCCCUCGGCUUAACCGGGGAACUGCGUCUGAUACUGGAUGGCUUGAGUUCGGGAGAGGGAUGCGGAAUUCCAGGUGUAGCGGUGAAAUGCGUAGAUAUCUGGAGGAACACCGGUGGCGAAGGCGGCAUCCUGGACCGAUACUGACGCUGAGGAGCGAAAGCCAGGGGAGCAAACGGGG